rnacentral:rRNA from 1 species
UACGUAGGGAGCAAGCGUUGUCCGGAAUCAUUGGGCGUAAAGCGCGCGUAGGCGGCCCUGUAAGUCCGCUGUGAAAGUCAAAGGCUCAACCUUUGAAAGCCGGUGGAUACUGCAGGGCUAGAGUCCGGAAGAGGCGAGUGGAAUUCCUGGUGUAGCGGUGAAAUGCGCAGAUAUCAGGAGGAACACCGGUGGCGAAGGCGGGUCUCUGGGCCGAAACUGACGCUGAGGAGCGAAAGCGUGGGGAGCAAACAGG